UGACCGGAUGCCGAUCUCGAAAACCUGUCCCAGUUCGGACUGGAGUCUGCAACCCGACUCCACGAAGUUGGAUUCGCUAGUAAUCGCGCAUCAGCCAUGGCGCGGUGAAUACGUUCCCGGGCCUUGUACACACCGCCCGUCAAGCCAUGGGAGCCGGGGGCGCCUGAAGUCCGGGACCGCGAGGACCGGCCUAGGGCGAAACUGGUGACUGGGGCUAAGUCGUAACAAGGUAAC
rnacentral:rRNA from 1 species